GCCAGGUGUAGUGGCACAUGCCUGUAAUCCCAGCAGCUUGGGAGGCUGAGACAGGAGGAUCCUGAGUUAAGCCAGCCUCAGCAAAAGCAAGGCGCUAAGUAACUCAGUGAGACCCUGUCUCUA
rnacentral:sRNA from 1 species